CAGGACGAACGCUGGCGGCGUGCUUAACACAUGCAAGUCGAACGGGGAUAAGUUGGAAAGGCUUCGGCCCGGAAGACUAAUUCGAGUGGCGGACGGGUGAGUAACGCGUGAGCAACCUGUCCCAGACAGGGGGAUAACACUUGGAAACAGGUGCUAAUACCGCAUAAGACCACGGGGUCACAUGGCUCUGGGGUAAAAGGAGCAAUCCGGUUUGGGGUGGGCUCGCGUCCGAUUAGAUAGUUGGUGAGGUAACGGCCCACCAAGUCGACGAUCGGUAGCCGACCUGAGAGGGUGAUCGGCCACAUUGGAACUGAGAGACGGUCCAAACUCCUACGGGAGGCAGCAGUGGGGAAUAUUGGGCAAUGGGCCGAAAGCCUGACCCAGCAACGCCGCGUGAGUGAAGAAGGCCUUCGGGUUGUAAAGCUCUGUUAUAGGGGACGAAGGAAGUGACGGUACCCUAUAAGGAAGCCCCGGCUAACUACGUGCCAGCAGCCGC
rnacentral:rRNA from 1 species